AGAUUGAACGCUGGCGGCAUGCCUUACACAUGCAAGUCGAACGGCAGCACGGGGGGUAACCCCUGGUGGCGAGUGGCGAACGGGUGAGUAAUAUAUCGGAACAUGCCCUGUAGCGGGGGAUAACGCGUCGAAAGAUGUGCUAAUACCGCAUACGCUCUACGGAGGAAAGCGGGGGUCGCAAGACCUCGCACUAUAGGAGUGGCCGAUAUCGGAUUAGCUAGUUGGACGGGGUAAAAGCCCACCAAGGCGACGAUCCGUAGCUGGUCUGAGAGGAUGAUCAGCCACACUGGAACUGAGACACGGUCCAGACCUCCGUACGGGAGCAGCGAGUGGGAAUUUUGGACAAGUGGGCGCAAGGCCUGACUCCAGCCAUCGCCGACGUGAGUGAACGAACGGCCGUUUACGGGUUACGUAAAGUCGU
rnacentral:rRNA from 1 species